ACUUCAUGACUGAGAGCUGCUACAGCAACUUCUUCACCCACAGCAGCCAUGACUUUAAUCCCCAUCUUCAUCUGGACCCUGAUCUUCUGCUCUCAAGAGUCCAUAGGUCAGGUGACUGUGACUCAGAGUCCUGCAGUGAAAUCUGCUCUUCCAGGAGACACCGUCACAAUUAGCUGCAGGACCAGUCAGGGUGUUAAUGGCAACUACUUACACUGGUAUCAGCAGAAACCUGGAGAAGCUCCUAAACUCAUGAUUAUUUAUGUGAAUCAGCUUCAGUCUGGUUUUGCAGUUCGUUUCAGUGGUAGUGGAUCUGGAUCUGACUUCACUCUGACCAUCAGUGGAGUCCAGCCUGAAGAUGCUGCAGAUUAUUACUGUCAGGGGGAGUUUUAUAUCAGCAGCACCUAUCUGUUCACACAGUGAUAUAACGCCGUACAAAAACCUCCGUCACUCAGUCCGGCUGCACAGAGACUGCACUGCUGCAGUGGGAUCUCCUGCAGGUGCUGAGAUGGAGGAAG